rnacentral:rRNA from 1 species
AACACGUGGGAACGUGCCCUUCAGUUCGGAACAACCUCAAGUGGCAAACUUGGGCUAAUACCGGAUACGUCCGUAAGGAGAAAGAUUUAUCUGCUGAAGGAUCGGCCCGCGUUCUGAUUAGCUUGUUGGUGAGGUAACGGCUCACCAAGGCGACGAUCAGUAGCUGGUCUGAGAGGAUGAUCAGCCUCACUGGGACUGAGACACGGCCCAGACUCCAUAACGGGAGGCAGCAGUGGGGAAUAUUGGACAAUGGGCGCAAGCCUGAAUCCAGCCAUGCCGCGUGGGUGAUGAAGGCCUUAGGGUUGUAAAGCCCUUUCGGGCGGGGAACGAUAAUUGACGGGAACCCGGAAGAAGAAGCCCC